rnacentral:rRNA from 1 species
AGAGUUUGAUCCAGGCUCAGGAUGAACGCUGGCAGUAUGCCUAACACAUGCAAGUCGAACGAAGUCCUUCGGGACUUAGUGGCGGACGGGUGAGUAACGCGUGAGAAUCUACCUUCAGGAUGGGGACAACAGUUAGAAAUGACUGCUAAAACCCAAUAUGCAGAGAUGUGAAAUAGUUAUAGCCUGGAGAGGAGCUCGCGUCCGAUUAGUUAGUUGGUGGGGUAAAAGCUUACCAAGGCGGCGAUCGGUAGCUGGUCUGAGAGGAUGAGCAGCCACACUGGGACUGAGACACGGCCCAGACUCCUACGGGAGGCAGCAGUGGGGAAUUUUCCGCAAUGGGCGAAAGCCUGACGGAGCAAUACCGCGUGAGGGAGGAAGGCUUUUGGGUUGUAAACCUCUUUUAUCAAGGAAGAAGAAAGUGACGGUACUUGAAGAAUAAGCAUCGGCUAACUCCGUGCCAGCAGCCGCGGUAAUACGGAGGAUGCAAGCGUUAUCCGGAAUCAUUGGGCGUAAAGCGUCCGCAGGUGGCUCGUCAAGUCUGCUGUUAAAGACAGAAGCUUAACUUCUGAAAAGCGGUGGAAACUGGGGAGCUAGAGUACGGUAGGGGUUGAGGGAAUUCCCAGUGUAGCGGUGAAAUGCGUAGAGAUUGGGAAGAACACCAGUGGCGAAGGCGCUCAACUGGGCCGUAACUGACACUCAGGGACGAAAGCUAGGGGAGGCGAAAGGGAUUAGAUACCCCUGUAGUCCUAGCUGUAAACGAUGAACACUAGGCGUUGCUUGUAUCGACCCGAGCAGUGCCGUAGCCAACGCGUUAAGUGUUCCGCCUGGGGAGUACGCACGCAAGUGUGAAACUCAAAGGAAUUGACGGGGGCCCGCACAAGCGGUGGAGUAUGUGGUUUAAUUCGAUGCAACGCGAAGAACCUUACCAGGACUUGACAUGUCGCGAAUCCUUCAGAGAUGAGGGAGUGCCUUAGGGAGCGCGAACACAGGUGGUGCAUGGCUGUCGUCAGCUCGUGUCGUGAGAUGUUGGGUUAAGUCCCGCAACGAGCGCAACCCUCAUUCUUAGUUGCCAGCAUUAAGUUGGGCACUUUAGGAAGACUGCCGGUGACAAACCGGAGGAAGGUGGGGAUGACGUCAAGUCAGCAUGCCCCUUACGUUCUGGGCUACACACGUACUACAAUGGUUGGGACAAAGGGCAGCGAGCGAGCGAUCGUAAGCGAAUCUCAGCAAACCCAGCCUCAGUUCAGAUUGCAGGCUGCAACUCGCCUGCAUGAAGGAGGAAUCGCUAGUAAUCGCAGGUCAGCAUACUGCGGUGAAUUCGUUCCCGGGCCUUGUACACACCGCCCGUCACACCAUGGAAGUUGGCCACGCCCGAAGUCGUUACCCUAACCAAUUGAGGAGGGGGAUGCCGAAGGCAGGGCUGGUGACUAGGGUGAAGUCGUAACAAGGUAGCCGUACCGUAGAGUGUGGCUGGAUCACCUCCUUA